ensembl:lncRNA
CCAUUUAAGAUCAUUUUGAUUAUCUUGAAAUACAAUUACAGAAGAGGAGAGGUUACAUGAUAGCUACAAUAUUAUGAAGUUGUCCUCACACAUUCUAUGUGUUGGACCUAUAAUGGACAUAGAAAUGUACUUUACAAGGAAAAUUGCAUAUUAUUUUAUAGGUCACUUGUAAAGAAAGCCACACAUUGACUUCAUUGCCAUUUUGGAUGAGAAUGAGUUCAAUUAAUGAGUUUUAAUAUAGCAGUAUUAUGAUUUCCCCAAAACUAUGUGACAGUUUAUUCAGGAGAGACUUGAGUUAUCUUUUAAUGGCAAGUGUCUGAUUGAGAAAACGGGCACAUUUGUGAAGAAACUCAUUAAAGCUCUGGAAUAAAUUCUCAAUGUGUCUCUCCGCUCCCUUCCAUUAUUUCUCUACCCUUUUCCACAAGUACCACCCAGCAUGAACUGAUAUUUCACUCGCUGUGUGCAUUAGGCCCGGCUCAACUCUGCCUUGCCAUUGGGGCAAUGUGCUUCAACAGAGAAAAAGAAGGGUUUGAACAUUUCGCUAUUGAGUCUCGACUUUGAUAUGACAAUACCCAGCACACAUGUCAGUCCAUGGUGAUGCUGAACACAGUGACUCAAACGGAGCUCUAAGCUUUUGAACACAAAGGGAACAUUUAAACAGUUUCCCCUCCUCCCCCUUAUCUCACAGCACAAGAGGGAGCUUUUGGAGUUUUGAGAGAAGCUAAAAUAAACUUCAAGACGGUGAUUUGUCUCGUGUGCGUGGCAGAAUUUUGAGUGGGAUGGGGAGCGUUCGAUGCAGAGUGGCAGCACGGGAGAGGAAGCAGCUUUUACUGUCUGAUCUUUGUACUUCCAGCACAACUGUGUGAUUUCACAGCAUUACCUUUUGGCUUGCAGAUGUGCAUUAAAUACUGUGUCUGUAGAAACAUAGUUAAAGGCUUUAAUAGCUUUAAGCCCCUAUCAUGGUGAUCUAAAGUCAUUGGCAAGCAAACAGAACAAGGGUAUAGGAAGAAAUGCCUGUUGACACAGAAUAAUCCCCGUGAUGCUGAUUGAUUCGACCUAGAGAGCAAAUUUACGAACGCACCCCAAGUAAGCAUUGCUGUCCCGUAGUUGGUGGAUCAGUAGCAAGCUCAUCAGUUAACAUUAAUGGUUGGACUAUCAGCGAGCUCAAAAGCUCUAGUGUAUAAAUGAAGACCUAUAGGGGUCUGUUUGCCUCGACCAAUUUAUUGUAAAUAUCAAUCGAUGUUAAUGGAGAAACUAAUGGAAACUUGGACGUCUUUCAAUCAUAUAAAUGUUUCCAUGCUACAUGUAGCCUUUAGCCUCUGCCACCUUGGCCAAAGUUAUGGUUUACUUCCUGUGAAGGGAGAAGGAUGCACAAACAGAGUAAUACACAAAUCAUAUGGCUCGUUAGCCAACAGCUAGUCAGGCUUACUUUCAGCCCCUUUAAUUAAAGCAGGCAUCCAUUAAAGAAUUAUGUGGGUGUUCAUCAGAGUUAAUAGCAUAUUAAUGAUGCCUAUCAAUGCUUGAUAUAAGCCUUAGUAAUUAUUCAUAAAAUAUUCACAACAACAUAUACAAGAAUAUAAGGCUGUCACUUUUGUAAAAUAAUGCAUUAUAGGUGUUUCAAUAAGUAGAAUUACCAGUAUCUUGCCAUGAAGAGCUAAAAUAUAUGUUGCAACAAAUUAUGUGGUCCCAAAAACUUUUAUAUUUUCACAUUAUAACACCUUCUGUGUACAAUUAAGAACACUGAAGUCUUAUUAAAUGUUGAAGAAGAAGUAUUACAAAUAAAUCAUUUCAAUACUUGCUUUAAGUUAAGUAGAAUUUUAACUGAAGGAAUUUGGAGUGUCAGACACCACUUUACUGUUCUUUAUGCAGGUUAGUGUUGCUCAUCUAGUUUUCCCUACAAGGCAACUUCUGUGUAAGUAUGUAUAAUUAGAGCAACUGUCGGUAUGGAGACACAUAUAAAGCCGAGAUGAUUACACGAGGAAACGUGCUGUCAGGAUGAAGGCGAAUGUAUACAUCAACCUAUAGUGAAGCCCGGGGCACGUCACUGCAAAUUCAAUCACUAAGCGCACAUAUGCCCAGAAUAUGCAGCCUCAUAAAUAACAAAACAUGAAUGCAUUAUGCAGUACACUUAUCGCACUUAUUGUCAACAAAAUGAUGGGAGAGGGGUGUUAGUGGAGGAUAUAGACUCGUUUGGUGCUUUUUGUUACAGCUGAAAAAAAUCUCACUCAUUCCCUCUCUGUGUGUUGUGUUUGGUGAACAUUACAUUGUUGAUGUUCAGCUGCUGUAAAGGUAAAAGCCAUAUGCUGUAUUAUAUAUAUUAUAUAUAAGUCCAAAUUUAAUUACAAAUCCAAUGUUUUGCACAAGACAACAGAGAAUGGAUUGGUUUCCAUAGCAAAGAUAAGAGACUGGUUUUAGAGUAAUUGCUUGUUUGUUAUAUGGCAGGGUCAAAAAGAUGCACAAGGCAAUCUACUCCUGUGAGAUUUCAAUUACAACAAAUAGAAAACCUCCUUUGUAUCGUGUUUUAAUGAGUCGGAGGUAACUGCGACCAGUAAUAUUUUUUUUAUUCUUAACGUCUGACCAUGUUAUGGCUUCUUCCCUUGGUUGUUGUUAUUAUGAACUUUAUUAUAUUGUAAUUAUAUGUAUUUUAAACUCAAAAUUACCUUAAGAAUUUAAGAGAGUCGGAUCUGAGUGCAAACAAUGGAUUUGGAAUGAAAUCCAUUGCCCUAUUGAUGUGACAGAUUUGUCAAUAAUUACACACAACGCUCAAAAUAGUCUGGAACACGGUUUGAGUGUUAUAUUUAUACACGGCCAUUUCAGUGUAAAAUUUAACAAUUCUGAUGCAGUAAAAAUACUGUAUGUUCAGAGAUAUUUUUAUGUUGAUAUCCACAGUAACAUUACACGAAGGCUAACGGUGUCAACCAAUAUCUGAUAUUUAAGGUCAUUUUAAACUCGGUUAUUUGAACUAUUAUCCUGCCAGUAUUUGCGUGCCUCUGAAGUUUUGAAAGGUAAUUUGCAGGAUGUUUGAUUCAGAAAAGAUGAAAGUCUUUGUUUACCUUUUGAUGCCAUUUAAGGGGAGAGAAGGGGGCUUUCGGUAACUGAUAAUUUCACUGCUCUUUUAGUCUGGGACUUCCUUGACAAAGGCUAAUCAUACUCAAACUCAAAGCACUGAGUCCCAGACUCUUACGCAAUAACAGCAUUGUUAGCACCUCACCUGUCAGCUCUAUUUGUGUUUAUUUCCUGCUCUCCUCUUCAAAGUUGAUGUUCAGAACAGAACAACAAAGUCUAGGGUAUGGGGCGACAUCACAUUAAAUAGUUACCACGGAAAUGAAUGAGGUGUUAUAUUAUGGGAUAUUGUGUCAGGGGAUUGUUUUCAGCUCUUGUUCCAUUUCCGUUCUGCUUAACUUCAUUCACACCAUCGCUGAAAGGUGAAAUGGCAUGGCGUUCACUCUGCACAUUGUUGCUUAGUAUAAUCCCAGCCAUACGGAGGUGAUAUGCCUCAAUUGCCAUUGUCAUUGUAAUGACUCACAAGCAUGUGUGGAUGCACUGUGUAAUAAAAAGACUUUAAUUUAAUUUCUAUAGAGGAAGUGUGCCACCACUGGGGUAGCUGAUUGGGGCCUUAUGAGUAAAGUGAAGUCUCUGAAAGGUUCCAUGUGGUUAGCAGCCACAUGCUAUCUCCUCUGAGAACCUGAGAAAUAUUGAUAUUUAACUUCAAUUCUGACCUCAAGCUCCUAAAAGAUAUCCCUCCUGGCUAAUAUUGAAAAAAAAUCCCUUCAGGAUGAAACAAGAACGGACUACUUGUGGAAUUAUAUGAAAGAUGUGAAAGCACAAAACCCGUUACCAAUGGCAGCGGUCAUUCAUUUUUUUCAGCGGUCAAUAGAAAGAAAUAUCAGACUUCCGAACGUUGGGGUGGCCAUUUCAAAUCAAUGGAAUUUUUUUGGCAACAUUCUGAGGAGCUGUAUAAUAGACAACAUUAACCUGAGGGGACAACAGAAUGGAAACCUGAUUGGCCAGGUUUUGAUGUUACAUUUCCAGCCCUCAAAUGUCCACUUUAACUAGGGCACUGUUGUAUGGACAAAUCUGGCUUGUUUUGUAUUUCCUGUUACCACAGACAAGCUGAACAAACAUAUACCAUUUCACUGCAGCUGGUUAUUUAGGCUGGUUAUUUAUUUUGGUUAUUAUCUCAUGGCCUUAGCAGGACUGUUCAGUCACUCCAUUAAAUAAAUGCAAAACUUGUUUUUGUUUUUCAGAUUUUUUUCAAACAGUUUUGCUUUUACAGGGAAACCAGAUUCCAGAUUGCCAUUUGAUUGCAAUAGAAACAACUAAAAAUAUUCAGUUUUCAGACAGCAUACAAAGCAGUCCUCAAAUACACAGAAGUAGACUUUCUAUGAAACCAAAUACCUUUCCGUGGAGCCGAACAAAACAAACAGUAUAAUGAAAAACAAUUCAUUACAAGCCCAGCCUCUCCUGUGUUCAUUUACAUAACACUUCAGAUCAUUACUGUGGCUUGAUGCCUCCUGCAACUAUGUGAGUCAGUUUUGAAAUAUAAUAUCUCGUUAUAUUUCUUAAUUGCCACCCCUUACUGGAUGGGUUAGGACUAGUUUUCAGCACCUCAGUCUGUGCCCUUCCAUAUACGUACAUAUGGCUAAAAACAAUAUGUCAUCACCUGAUAGAUUAUAACGGAUAUGCCUAAUGAUUGCAUGUAUAUCUGAUAUGUUUUUCUUGUUGCAAUGAUGUUUUAUGCCAUUGCAAAGAAAAUUAUAUUUUCCCCUUACUCUGUCCAGGUAAAGAAAUUCAAAACAAAUUUCACAGAUGAUAUGAUGUACUGUAAAUGUUUAGCUUUAAGAGGAGUGUCACAAAACUUACAAAAACAAAUCCAGUCAAAACAAUUUACUUAAUAUUAGCUAAAUUCGUUAGUGCUUGAAAUGUCAACAACAUUUGGGCUAUAUUUCCAAACAAAAAUAUUGGUUGUGCAUUUCAUUUUCGCAACAAUUCUUUCUUGGAUUCCAAUAGGACAUCCUGCCACAUCCAAUUCGUCACAACAUUGCUCUUCUGAGAGAGCUUCGCUAUCAUCAUGCCCACCUUGGCCUGCGUCUGUUUUGGUAGAAAAUGUUUCUUUUCUUUCUUUUUUUUUCUGCAGGACCCCAUGAGUAAUGUGUACCCACAAAAUACUGGACAUCGUAAUUAAUGUCUCUCUAAAAGGCAUUAUCUCUUUGGUCUACACUUCUCGCAUCAUUAACUUCAUGUCCUUUUCACAGGAAAAAGGAGAUUGGGCUUUCUGUGAGUGGAAAAUAAAAAUUCCCAUAGCAUAAUUUGGCAUUUUAAUUCUGCACUUGAGUCUGAUCAGACUGGACCCUGGACCCUUACAGAUGGGUCACGUGUUGUUGAGCAGCCUCUCUGUCUGUAUGCGUUAAAGAGAGGGUCUACGACAGGGAACAUCCUUCAGCCUGUGUUUUAGGUCAGAUAAAGUAUUCUUUCUUGCUCUCGUCCAUGGCGUCCUGCAGAGCAGGGUCGCCCCGGAGCGCGGCAUCCGCUGUCUCCGCAAACUCGGUGCCCUUGGCCUCGUUAGUGUGGUAGGUGCCCUUGUGCCGGUACAUGUAACGCAUUAGCACCACCACUAAGCAGAGGAUGACCAGGACGACCGUGGCAAUAACCGCUAAGAGUGGGAUAGAGAGAGGGAAAGAGAGAGAGAGAAAGGGGAAGAAAAAAGAAAUAAUGGAAUAGAGAAUACAAUAGGACACUAAGUGGAAUCAGGUAAAUUAAUGUGAAAUGGGGUCACAGGAAAUCUGGCUGCUAAUUUAAAGAAUAUUUUUUGCAUCUUCUAAUUGGAUGACCUGUUUUUUUAAUGGACAAUCCAGUCUGGAUAUGGGUUCAACAGUCAUGGAAACGAAGGCAAAUAAUAAGAAAGGUCCGGUCAAGAAAGAUCUGCUAAAACAUGGGUUGUAUUGUGGUAUUGUCACAUUUCCUGACCUUAUGACACUGUACGACUGAACAACUUGCGGGGGUUUAGAAGCAUCUCCGCAAAUAAAUCUGGAUAAUUAUCGCGCACUCAUCAUCGUGUUCUUACUCAUUGACACUAAAUAAUAACGUUAAACCACUGCCAAAGAUUCAUUAAAGGCUUGAAAGUGGACACAAAUAUAUCUCACUGACUAACAGCUGGUCAUGGUCACUGCGGCCAGACUGUGAAAACAUUUUUAUUAGUUUGCCUUGGCAACAAGGUGGCUAAUCUAUUAUGUUUUGGACCUGCUCCUAUGCUUGUCUGAAUUCACAAUGCUGGCUUUGUUGAGAUCUAUUCCAGCACAUCAAGCAUAGAAGAGAUUGCACUCUUGCAAGGAGAAAGUCAUAUUCCUGUUAUUAAACAAUUCACUUUGUCGGGCUCUCAGAUCAAUGUUCUAUCUGUCUGAGAUUCAUUCGGGUUGUAGUAAGUACUGCUGAAGGCCCGCUGACCACUGGAGGCAAACUCUUAUAUUCACUCACCUCCUAGGAUUGCAUCGAAAUAGCCAUUAUCCACUCCAUCUGAAAGAAAGCACAAAUAAACAUGAGAAAUUGCACCCAUUACCUAGCACUAUACAGCCAUGCUUGAUAGUGCCUGGAGAAUAUCUUAACUUGUUCAACAUAUUCAGUUCCUGUGACAUUGUUAUGGUAAAAGUUCACAAUUUAUGAGAGGUUGUUUUAAUAGACAGCUGUUUCUCUUGCCUGCAGACUCAGAAAGGGAUCUCUAUAUCCAUCACUGGAGACAAAAAGCUCAUUAAAGACGGUGAUUAAAGGUAAUCAUGAAUUAUUGCAGUAGCAACAUCUGCCUGCCAUGCCUUGACUUUCGCUGAAGGACAUAAAAUUGACUGCAUCAUCACUUGUGACACCAACCAGGUAAGAUUUAAAAUGGAGAUGGAUGUAACGUGUCCCGCAACAUAUCUUUCAAAGGCAAAGAGCAGUAACUUAAACAUAAAAGUUUCAGUAAUGAAUGCCUGGCAUACUCAUUAGUGCCUAAUAAACCACAACAUUGAGUUGUUCGCAUGUCAUUAAAAUCUCAUUAUUUUGUCUUGUUGACAAUGGAGUCAUUGCUGAAUGGAGAUGUCUAGGUGAAGUUGAAGGGCACUUAAUUUGGGGUGCUGUUAAGACAUUGUUAUAGAUGCAGUGAUGGAAGAGUGAUGAGAUGCUCAGAGUCCACGUAGUGGGAGUUUACAUGGCUCCUUCUAGGUCUGUACCUAAGUGAUAGGAAAACAUCUCAUGAGUUUGACAAUGAAAUUAAAAUGUUUAGCAUUUGUUUCUGGAAAGACAGUGCCUUUGGUUUGACUGUUAUCUGUGAUAUGAUAUUGUUCUGUAAUCAUAACUGAAUAAAUACAUCUUGAAUACACACACACACACACACACACACACACACACAAACACACACAUACACACACACACACAGACAAACCCACACACUCUUGACAACUGAAGCCUCAUUGAUUAAUACACAUUUAGACAGGGGUUACAGUUGAAACACUACCUCAGUAGUUGCCACCAAUGUUGGGUUAUCCGUGGUUAAAAAAAAAGAAUUAAAUAAUAAUUGCCACACUGACAGAGUAACAGAAAGCAACAAUACAUGAUAUUAUGAAGUGAACGGGACAUUCCUUUUUCAUUUGUUUGCUUUUUCGCAUUGCGGAGUACUACAUUUUAAAUUAUUUAAAUAAUCAUAUCAUAGUUAUCACCAUAAUUUGCAAUUAAGAGAUUUUUCUUUUCCAGGACAGUGAGGAGACAUGGUGGCUUGAGAAGCAGAAAUCCCUGCUAAAUUUGCUAAGCAAACACAAGGGGGCCAGUGUUGCCUUGAGGUGCCCCCUUGUUAGCCUCGUUAGUGAGAUCCGCCUGCCGCCAUGACACACAUCGAGACAUCUGCGUCGCUCAGGCACACCCGUGGACAGCUUUUUUUCAACGGCUGCCAUGGAGCCCCGAGGACCCAGCAGACAGGCAACCGGAGCCAACGCCGUGAGAUGGCACAGAGUGUUAGAGACAUCAGUCAUCACACGUUUUUUUCUUUUUUUUCUGUCUUCACACAUUUUAGUUUGCACAUUCACACAAGUUCACACACUCACAGGCACAGACACACACACACACACACACACACACACACACACACACACACACACACACACACACACACACACACACAACCACAGGGGCACACAGUCGCAAGGAAAAGCUAACCUAGGGGCUAAGACAUUCACUUUCAUCACUUUCCCAGAAGUGCAGCUAAUCUUGCCCAAAUGCGGGGCUUUGAAGCGCAGUGGUAAUUGUCUCCCGGUAGGAAGGACAGUAAAACUGGGAGCUAAAUUAAUUCCACCCUCCAGCCUCACGGCGGACACUGCACUGGAUAUUAUAUUCUCAGGAAUAAACUCAGGCUAAUAUCUAGAUCACUUCUAUGUAUGGCAGCAUAGCCAGUGACCUUUUUUUGUCACCUCUGAGGGCUUUUUUUAUCCAAUGGCACAAAGAGACAUAUGCAGAGGACAGCUUGUCAUGAUGGCGCUCACUGGACAGGCAGUGCCACUUAAUUUGUCUGCCGUGGUGGUCUUGGGUUGAUAGAGCCACUUAGCUCACAGUUGGACUUUUGAUGGAACUUCAUUUACGCAGACAGAGCCUUCAAGACCAGAUGGUGAAAGUGAUUUAUUAAAAAAAAGCAUAGCUAACACCUUUUGUUGUUCUUCUAUCUGAGGAUUAACUGUUAGUGAGCAUAAUUGUAUGCCAUUGAAUUUUAUGACAGUGUCAUAUUUUAAGACCAAUCUAUGACAGUGUAAAGUGAAAAAGAAAGGGGAGCAAUUAGAAAUUGAGUAUCCCACAUUCACACAAAGUUGGAAAAUCAGAACACCCUUCUGUGGGGUUAGAUUUCUAGGCUACGAUUCUAACUUCCCAUUUCACUGAGGGAAGACAUUUAUGGUAGGCUAUUGCUAAUGGACAUUUAAACACUGACCAAGGAAUUUGGGUGAGGGUGUUUAAGGCGCUGGUAUGCUCGACGGAUUGGUUAUUGCGCGUGCCAACAGUGACGUCAACACAGCGGCAAAACCUUUAUGCUUGAGCAAGGUGUGUGACCUGCAGUUUUCUCGACCUUAACGAUACAUAUCGCUGCGAGAAAAAUACCAUCUACACCGCUGGAAAGUUAUGCACAGAAAUAGAGCAGUCAAAUAUAAAUGAUAUAAACUGUAUCACCAGUAUUCAUUUGUGGAUUAACUGCUGGAAACAGCAAUAAGAAGAGGCAAUGUGCUGAAUAGAAUAGAGGACAAUGAAAGAACCUAGGCUAUAUGACAUGACAGUUAAACUUUAUCACCUUUAUUAAUUUGAAGAUUAAACUGGAUGGCUCCUAAAAGUUUCUGGUUAGUGUUGCUUGUGGGCUGGGAAACUAACCUGUUACCUUACUGUAGGUUAUCACAAUGUGUUAUGGUAACAAAAGACGGUCUCAACUGCAUUAUAGAACAGUGUUUUUUUAUGUUUAUUUUUCUUGCAAUUUUCAUCAGAAAAACGUUUAUACAAUUGUUACAGUAAUCUCCCUACACAAGUUCUGUGCCAUCUGGGAAUCCCUAUGCUCCUGCAUUGAACGGUCAUGGCGACGCCUGUACAGAUGGCUGUGACUCGUGUCUUCUGCUUUUUCAUUUUGCAUAUGUGCCAGCCACGCCGCAUGCAACAAGUUAAAAGGGAAGUUUGCGACCAGCCAGCCGGCGGAAAUAGUGUAGUUUUUGUUGCACAGUGCAAAGAGAUGGGAACGGCGAGCAAAAAUUCCCCUUUAGACGUAGAGGUUUGGCAAUGUAUAGUAGCUUUUUAUCAGUAUGUGUACUCCAUGGGUAUGGAACCCAUGCUGUUGAUGCUGCUGGCACCUCACCAGUUGACUGACAGGAAACACAGCUUGCUUAUGAAAAUAAAAACGGCAAAAAGCAAUUAUCAACAUGUUUUCAAAGACUUUUAUUUGAGACCUGAAUUAAAUGUUGCAAGAAGGGUCCAAUCACAAUUGUAUUAUGGACUGGCUCCAGCUUUGGUACAACAUCAGUGAGAUCAUUUAAUUUGGCUUUCAGUCAUUGUUCAAUUGUGAAACAUUUUUGGGUGUCAGAUGCAAUCAAAAUGGGAUUCCUCAUUCAAAACAUGUCAUUUUUUUAAGUCAUUUUCUAAAGAGUGGGCUGAUUCCAUUAGAAAACACAAUGAGGUGGCAACAGAAUAUGACAGUAGAGACGUCCACUGUUUAUUCUCGCCCCUCACUCAAGUCUCUCAGACGAGGAAACAUUGCCGCCGUCUCUUUUGUCACUUGUUCAUCAGUGGCUGUCCCUUUUAUUUUAAUGUGUCACAUAAGUCAAGAAUGUUUACCUGAUGAGCACAACUGAUUUGUUGUUGAAUGAGAGUGUAUGUCACCGGAUGGGCUGUUCAACUUCAUCUUAACCACUCAGACAACAUCAAACAAUGUUCAGCUCAUCUGUUUUGACAUGUAGGUUCAGGUGUAUGUGUCUGAACGCCUUGAGUGUGUGUGGUGACUGUAUUUAGUUCAUCAAACUCAUCAUACUCUCCCAAUAGUAAUCAGUUAACCAGGGGUCGAGGGUCAAGGCUAUAUAGUAUUUAUUUUGGAAAACAUGACUGUUUUUCAUGAACUGCUGUUAGAUCUCUAUGAGUUCUAUUGGUUAACUAAUUUUUUUUUUAUACAGGAAAAGAUGUUUAAUUCCUAGUGAAAUUGAAUGGGGAUUUCACACAGUGGCCAAUCCCUCUCACUGUCACAUGCAAUCACUGAUACCCAACAACCUAGCCUAAGUAUUAUAACAACAGUGUGCACUGCAACCAUCAUAACGAUACUUAACAAUAUUUAACAACAACAAAGAUGCCUUCGUGAGCAUUUCACAAGGGUUGUCACGUGGGCCCCCUCCUUCAGUCAGUGUUUCGUUGACACCACGACACCUCCAGAAGGCUCAACAGUGGUGUCUGGUGUCUCAGACCUCCAUACUCAUAAUGGGUUUGGACACAUGUCAAUACCAGGGACAACAACAGAUACACCUCCAGAUACACCUUGAAAAGAUUUCACAUGCAUAUCUCAGUGUCUGAGCGAUGCACUGCCAUUAUACUAGUUCAUGCCACAGGCUAUCCAGGGUGAGGGGUGGGACAGUUUGGGGGGUAACCCCCUCGGGAGUAUGAACCCAGGUAAGGGUAAGGGAAGGGGUUGGGGGUGGCAGUCCCCCUGGGAUUACAAACCUGGAUUAGGGUAAGGGAAUAAGGGAAUAAAACGGGAUUCGAACCCUGGUCAUUUUAGGCGUCUAAACAUCUUGCGACAACAGACUUCUUCAGGUGAUACAGGUUAAUUCACAUGUCCUUAAGUAGUUAAUGAGCGCCUCAGCCAUAAUCACUGGCUCGCUUUUUCAGCAGCCUCAGACAACAAUUUUAAAGCUCCUUUGAUCGACCGUUCUCGAAAACCAAAAUCCAACAGAAGCGUUGUGGUUAAUUUAGCUACAAAGCCUAUAUCCACUGGUCUUGUCAUGUGUGCUUGCCAACCUCGUUCCCUCGCUUCCACUACCAGUUUUGCAUACUUUAGCAUUCUCCCUUUCAAAGGCUUCCUCAAUUGCAUCUUCAAAGGGAAUCAUUAACUCAGUAAACAAUGUGGUCGCACUCAGAACAACAGUAGACAAUGCACUCGCACUCAGAAUACAACACCAUGUCUGGUCUCAUAGCAGUCACAACAAAUACACUGUGGAAUUUGAAGUUGCCUUCUGACAACAGCCAGCAAUCUCCAAUCCUGCGCUUUGCCCCAUUUGCCCAUACUGUUUGUACUGUAUGUGCCUGGUGUCAACUUUCCUGCCCCUAUUGCACAAAAUAAAUACUACUGUCUUUGUCAUUAACCGGCAAAGAAUUAAUCCCAGCCCGUUUAUUCUAAAACAAACAUCUGCCAACAACCAACGCCACUGAUUUUAAAACCUGAUUAUGCCUCCAUGUAUAGCUAUACUAGCUAUUCUAGCUACCAAACUAGUUUUACCACCAGACAUAAUGUGUUUGAAUGAACCAACACCCAUACACAACUUCCAGCUUCUGUCUUCACCCACCCACUGACUGAGGUUCUGCAGAGUUGGGGGAACAUAAGUGGCUCAAACAAUUAAUUUAAUGUGGUUACAUUUACAUUUACAUUUAGUCAUUUAGCAGACGCUUUUGUCCAAAGCGACGUACAAGGGAGAGAAUAGUCAAGCUACGAGCAAUAGAACCUGGUGUAACAAUAAAUACUACUUUACGAAGUGCCAGUUAGGACGGGAAGUGCUUCUUCAAAAGCUUCUUAAAGGUAGAGAGGGACGCCCCUGCUCUGGUAGUGCUAGGUAGGCAUGGUUAGCAUCAAUAUCCCACAAUUCUCUCCAGCUUAUCUUCCUGUUUUCAACAUUAUGCCAGUUCAUCCAUUGCCUGAGAAGCCGCUGCUGCUCGUCUAGAUUCCUCUUCUUGCUCGUGAACAAAGCUGGUAACCAUCUGCCUCCUCUCUGGCAAUGUAGUCUUACCCUAUGCUUUCCAACUGUCACUUAACCCAAAUCCUGCUCUUCCAUUCUGUUCCUGCCCAAUGACAUCCCUAUGCUUUAAAGCUCCUCAUACACGUCAAACCACUUCUCGUGGAUUCCACGUCUUCCCUGUUUUAACCAUUGGAGCAGUGUUCUUGAAUCCUGGAUCCUUAUAUAAAGUCAUCUCCAGGCUGGUGUUAGCACAGAACUCCUCCACCAAGCUGGUCAUUGGUAACUCCAAAAUGUAUUCUCCACACAAUCAUACAGUGAUUUGUAUUUUAUUCCCAGUGCUUAGACAACGUGGCACCCCAAGCCAUUUCUAAGCUGCCUUAUUUAUGAUUCUCUCAAAUUUCUCCACCUCUGAAAUAGCAACAUACAACCAGCCAAAGGCCGCAUUAUAUCACCAAAUGAUAAACAGGUAUAAACUAUGGUAUAGAUUUUCUGUGAGGAAAAAAAAUGAAUCUCACAUUUCAGGGCAUAUGGCGGCUUUCCAAUGGUGUUAUUGAAACUCUUUGAGAUUAUUUACGCCAGUGCAACUUUUUAAAGGCAAAGUUUCCUGUGCUGAUAUCAACAAGUUUUCUUCAAGAAAUCUGCAAAGUACAAAGUCUUUAAAGACUGACAUUUGACCCAUGGAAUUGUAUCAUAUUUAUACAUCAUAGAUUUCAGCUCAAAUAUGUCUGGUAGGCCUAAUUCAAAAAUAUAUAUUUCAACUCAAGCGGAAGAACUGUCUCAAGUUUUCAUCAGUGCAACUGAAGAACACCAUUUCUGCAUCCUUCCAAUGCCAUCAGAAUUAGCUCUAUAUGACUAGAAGCAAUCACAUUAAAACACACAGAUGAGCUCUAGCCAAGGAUGGGCAAAAAUACAUCUAAAUUAAUUGGUUGUAAAAUUAUCCAAAUAAAAUACAAAAUACAGCAACCAGAACAUGCAUCAAAAUAAACUUCAGUAUUUUAUAUUUAAAACAUUUCCAAGGCAGCAUGACAUCAUAUCACAAACCUCCACUCCACAUAGGCAUAUGCUCUGGCGGAAGAUGUAGUAACACUUGAGUAUCGUAAUUUCCGGACUAUAAGCCGCUACUUUUUUCCCAUGCUUUGAACCUCGCGGCUUAAACAAUGACGCGACUAAUUUAUGGAUUAUGAUGAUACCUGUGACUGUAUACAGUGGCUUUGUGUUUACAGUGGCUUUGUGGAGCUAGGAUGCUAGCAUGGAUGCAGCCGCAUGGAUGCUUAGCUCCACGCGAUUUCACAGUAUCUUUCAAUAACUUAACUAAUGUCAAAAUAACCACAGUCUACCGGCGUAGACAGAACACAACUCAAAACACUUUAGAAAAUUAAAAAAAAGUUUACAACAAUACAAAUCCAGUCUUUUCAAGUUCUUUAGCUCACUGGUUUCAAACUAGCGUCUUUCUUCUAUCUCACUCACUCCUGUCUUCAAUCUAACGUCCUAACUUCUGAUUGACUCUUGCAACUGUGCUCUCUUAAAGCAACAGUGCACUUAUCGUAACUGGCAAAACUAAUAAUAUGCAUCACUGUUGUAUUACUUUUGAUAUUCAUUUUAGCCUGUGUAAAGUUAAUUUGUGUCAAUGUACCGGUAGGCACCUGCGGCUUAUAGACAUGUGCGGCUUAUUUAUGUUAAAAAUAAUUAUUUUUUAAAAAUUCAGUGGGUGAGGCUUAUAUUCAGGUGCGUUCAAUAGUCCGGAAAUUACGGUAAUUUUGUCCCAAUUAGCACUUUUUUGUUAAUGUUGACACAUGCAGACUAAAAUGCAAUCUUCGUUUUUAAAGAAGACAUGACAUCCAUGUGUACAUUUCAUUUCAACCAUACCAUGCACAGCAUCAGCCGGCGAUUA